UUAGAAGCAGCCAUCAUUUAAAGAAAGCGUAAUAGCUCACUGGUCGAGUCGGCCUGCGCGGAAGAUGUAACGGGGCUAAACCAUGCACCGAAGCUGCGGCAGCGACGCUUAGGCGUUGUUGGGUAGGGGAGCGUUCUGUAAGCCGUUGAAGGUGUGCUGUGAGGCAUGCUGGAGGUAUCAGAAGUGCGAAUGCUGACAUAAGUAACGAUAAAGCGGGUGAAAA
rnacentral:rRNA from 1 species